GACGAACGCUGGCGGCGUGCUUAACACAUGCAAGUCGAACGGAAAGGCCCUGCUUUUGUGGGGUGCUCGAGUGGCGAACGGGUGAGUAACACGUGAGUAACCUGCCCUUGACUUUGGGAUAACUUCAGGAAACUGGGGCUAAUACCGGAUAGGAGCGCCUGCUGCAUGGUGGGGGUUGGAAAGUUUCGGCGGUUGGGGAUGGACUCGCGGCUUAUCAGCUUGUUGGUGGGGUAGUGGCUUACCAAGGCUUUGACGGGUAGCCGGCCUGAGAGGGUGACCGGCCACAUUGGGACUGAGAUACGGCCCAGACUCCUACGGGAGGCAGCAGUGGGGAAUAUUGCACAACGGGCGGAAGCCUGAUGCAGCAACGCCGCGUGCGGGAUGACGGCCUUCGGGUUGUAAACCGCUUUCGCCUGUGACGAAGCGUGAGUGACGGUAAUGGGUAAAGAAGCACCGGCUAACUACGUG
rnacentral:rRNA from 1 species